AACGUAUGCUGGCGGCACGCCUAACACAUGCAAGUCGAACGAAGUAGCAAUACUUAGUGGCAGACGGGUGAGUAACAUGUAGGUAUCUGCCCUUUGGCCUGGAAUAACACGAGGAAACUUGUGCUAAUACCGGAUAAGUCUUUACGGAGAAAGCUUUAUGCACCAUUGGAUGAGCCUGCACUUGAUUAGUUUGUUGGUGGGGUAAUGGCCUACCAAGACUGUGAUCAAUAGCUGAUUUGAGAGGAUGAUCAGCCACAUUGGGACUGAGACACGGCCCAAACUCCUACGGGAGGCAGCAGUGGGGAAUCUUGCACAAUGGAGGAAACUCUGAUGCAGCGAUGCCGCGUGAGUGAAGAAGGCCCUUGGGUUGUAAAGCUCUUUCGUCGGGGAAGAAAAUGACUGUACCCGAAUAAGAAGGUCCGGCUAACUUCGUGCCAGCAGCCGCGGUAAUACGAAGGGACCUAGCGUAGUUCGGAAUUACUGGGCUUAAAGAGUUCGUAGGUGGUUGAAAAAGUUAGUGGUGAAAUCCCAGAGCUUAACUCUGGAACUGCCAUUAAAACUUUUCAGCUAGAGUAUGAUAGAGGAAAGCAGAAUUUCUAGUGUAGAGGUGAAAUUCGUAGAUAUUAGAAAGAAUACCAAUUGCGAAGGCAGCUUUCUGGAUCAUUACUGACACUGAGGAACGAAAGCAUGGGUAGCGAAGAGGAUUAGAUACCCUCGUAGUCCAUGCCGUAAACGAUGUGUGUUAGACGUUGGAAAUUUAUUUUCAGUGUCGCAGGGAAACCGAUAAACACACCGCCUGGGGAGUACGACCGCAAGGUUAAAACUCAAAUGAAUUGACGGGGACCCGCACAAGUAGUGGAGCAUGUGGUUUAAUUCGAAGAUACGCGCAGAACCUUACCAACACUUGACAUGUUCGUCGCGACUCUAAGAGAUUAGAGUCCUCGGUUCGGCCGGACGAAACACAGGUGCUGCAUGGCUGUCGUCAGCUCGUGUCGUGAGAUGUUGGGUUAAGUCCCGCAACGAGCGCAACCCUCACUUUUAGUUGCCAUCAUUAAGUUGGGCACUCUGAAAGAACUGCCAGUGAUAAGCUGGAGGAAGGUGGGGAUGACGUCAAGUCCUCAUGGCCCUUACGUGUUGGGCUACACACGUGCUACAAUGGUAUCUACAACAGGAAGCAAGACUGCGAAGUUAAGCAAAUCCCUAAAAGAUACCUCAGUUCGGAUUGCACUCUGCAACUCGAGUGCAUGAAGCUGGAAUUACUAGUAAUCGUGGAUCAGCGUGCCACGGUGAAUGCGUUCCCGGGUCU
rnacentral:rRNA from 1 species